CUCCGAAGUUUCCCUCAGGAUAGCUGGAACUUUUAUAAAAUAGUUUUAUCAGGUAAAGCGAAUGAUUAGAAGCUCUGGGGAUGAAACAUCCUCGACUUAUUCUCAAACUUUAAAUAGGUAAGAAGACUGCAGUACUUAAUUGACUGUCAGUCUCUUGAAUAGUAAGUUCUUAGUGGGCCAUUUUUGGUAAGCAGAACUGGCGAUGUGGGAUGAACCAAACGUAAAGUUAAAGUGCCUAAAAAUACGUUCAUCAGAUACCACAAAAGGUGUUGAUUCAUCUUGACAGUUGGACAGUGGCCAUGGAAGUCGGAAUCUGCUAAGGAGUGUGUAACAACUCACCAACCGAAUGAAUUAGCCCUGAAAAUGGAUGGCGCUUAAACGUAUUACUUAUACUUUACCAUUAAAAUAAAUAGCUAAAUUUUAAU
rnacentral:rRNA from 1 species